rnacentral:rRNA from 1 species
UGCAAGUUGAGCGCUGAAGGUUGGUACUUGUACCGACUGGAUGAGCAGCGAACGGGUGAGUAACGCGUGGGGAAUCUGCCUUUGAGCGGGGGACAACAUUUGGAAACGAAUGCUAAUACCGCAUAAAAACUUUAAACACAAGUUUUAAGUUUGAAAGAUGCAAUUGCAUCACUCAAAGAUGAUCCCGCGUUGUAUUAGCUAGUUGGUGAGGUAAAGGCUCACCAAGGCGAUGAUACAUAGCCGACCUGAGAGGGUGAUCGGCCACAUUGGGACUGAGACACGGCCCAAACUCCUACGGGAGGCAGCAGUAGGGAAUCUUCGGCAAUGGACGAAAGUCUGACCGAGCAACGCCGCGUGAGUGAAGAAGGUUUUCGGAUCGUAAAACUCUGUUGGUAGAGAAGAACGUUGGUGAGAGUGGAAAGCUCAUCAAGUGACGGUAACUACCCAGAAAGGGACGGCUAACUACGUGCCAGCAGCCGCGGUAAUACGUAGGUCCCGAGCGUUGUCCGGAUUUAUUGGGCGUAAAGCGAGCGCAGGUGGUUUAUUAAGUCUGGUGUAAAAGGCAGUGGCUCAACCAUUGUAUGCAUUGGAAACUGGUAGACUUGAGUGCAGGAGAGGAGAGUGGAAUUCCAUGUGUAGCGGUGAAAUGCGUAGAUAUAUGGAGGAACACCGGUGGCGAAAGCGGCUCUCUGGCCU